GAGUUUGAUCCUGGCUCAGGAUGAACGCUGGCGGCGUGCCUAAUACAUGCAAGUCGAGCGAAUGGAUUAAGAGCUUGCUCUUAUGAAGUUAGCGGCGGACGGGUGAGUAACACGUGGGUAACCUGCCCAUAAGACUGGGAUAACUCCGGGAAACCGGGGCUAAUACCGGAUAACAUUUUGAACCGCAUGGUUCGAAAUUGAAAGGCGGCUUCGGCUGUCACUUAUGGAUGGACCCGCGUCGCAUUAGCUAGUUGGUGAGGUAACGGCUCACCAAGGCAACGAUGCGUAGCCGACCUGAGAGGGUGAUCGGCCACACUGGGACUGAGACACGGCCCAGACUCCUACGGGAGGCAGCAGUAGGGAAUUUCCGCAAUGGACGAAAGUCUGACGGAGCAACGCCGCGUGAGUGAUGAAGGCUUUCGGGUCGUAAAACUCUGUUGUUAGGAAAGAACAAGUGCUAGUUGAAUAAGCUGGCACCUUGACGGUACCUAACCAGAAAGCCACGGCUAACUACGUGCCAGCAGCCGCGGUAAUACGUAGGUGGCAAGCGUUAUCCGGAAUUAUUGGGCGUAAAGCGCGCGCAGGUGGUUUCUUAAGUCUGAUGUGAAAGCCCACGGCUCAACCGUGGAGGGUCAUUGGAAACUGGGAGACUUGAGUGCAGAAGAGGAAAGUGGAAUUCCAUGUGUAGCGGUGAAAUGCGUAGAGAUAUGGAGGAACACCAGUGGCGAAGGCGACUUUCUGGUCUGUAACUGACACUGAGGCGCGAAAGCGUGGGGAGCAAACAGGAUUAAAUACCCUGGUAGUCCACGCCGUAAACGAUGAGUGCUAAGUGUUAAAGGGUUUCCGCCCUUUAGUGCUGAAGUUAACGCAUUAAGCACUCCGCCUGGGGAGUACGGCCGCAAGGCUGAAACUCAAAGGAAUUGACGGGGGCCCGCACAAGCGGUGAGCAUGUGGUUUAAUUCGAAGCAACGCGAAGAACCUUACCAGGUCUUGACAUCCUCUGAAAACCCUAGAGAUAGGGCUUCUCCUUCGGGAGCAGAGUGA
rnacentral:rRNA from 1 species